rnacentral:misc_RNA from 1 species
GAUGAAGAACGCAGCGAAAUGCGAUAAGUAAUGUGAAUUGCAGAAUUCAGUGAAUCAUCGAAUCUUUGAACGCACAUUGCGCCCGCCAGUAUUCUGGCGGGCAUGCCUGUUCGAGCGUCAUUACAACCCUCAGGCCCCCGGGCCUGGCGUUGGGGAUCGGCGGAGCCCCCCGUGGGCACACGCCGUCCCCCAAAUGCAGUGGCGGUCCCGCCGCAGCUUCCAUCGCGUAGUAGCUAACACCUCGCGACUGGAGAGCGGCGCGGCCACGCCGUAAAACACCCAACUCUUCUGAAGUUGACCUCGAAUCAGGUAGGAAUACCCGCUGAACUUAAGCAUAUAAUAAGCGGAGGA